rnacentral:rRNA from 1 species
UACGUAGGGGGCAAGCGUUGUCCGGAAUCAUUGGGCGUAAAGCGCGUGUAGGCGGCUCGAUAAGUCUGCUGUGAAAGUCCAAGGCUCAACCUUGGGAUGCCGGUGGAUACUGGGAGGCUAGAGUGUGUCAGAGGAUGGUGGAAUUCCCGGUGUAGCGGUGAAAUGCGUAGAGAUCGGGAGGAACAUCAGUGGCGAAGGCGGCUUCCUGGACCGGUUCUGACACUGAGGAGCGAAAGCGUGGGGAGCGAUCCGG